rnacentral:rRNA from 1 species
AUGGCUCCUCAUGCGGUUGUGCCUGCUGGACGCCGCUUCUCCACCACAAGGCAGAGGCAGAGGAGGGCCUUAUCCACCACCACGCAAUGGCAGCCAAGGUCCUCCUCCCCCAUCUCGCCUCUCUCCCUCUCUCACCCCCCUAGAAAACUAGUAGAAGGGAGUGAGGAAGGAGGAGAAAGACCAGAAGAAGGGCAAGGGAUGUGGGGCGAUCUGCAUGUCCAUGGAGAUCAAAUUACCUGUGAGGUCAUCCACCGCGACCCUCACUGUGAGGACGACAACGAGAGGAUGAGUACCUCGACGGCGACGAAAACCAGGAGGAUGAACCCACCCAUAGUACUGGAAUCAGGGAUGACACGGUUCGGGAUCGCCGCACGCUUCAACGCCCCGUCGCCGGUCGUCUCGGAGGCUGCCGCCACCAACGCCGCGUCGGGCGUUGUCCACGCAGUGCCACAGACCGAGCCUGUUGCUUCCGCCGAGUGGCUGCAUGCCAACCUCAGGGACCCCAAUGUGAAGUUGAAAGAGGAUUUUGGUGGGCUUUGUUUUAGCACCAGCAAUUGCUCUCAAGGGCUUGUGCUUAUCUUGUGUAUCAACGUUCUUGUUCACAUCCAUCUUGGAGGGCUCAAAUUCGCUGCCGGAAGCUUCUUCAGUCGCUGUGUGGGCCUCUCAGUUGCCCCCUUAAGUUUGCUCAGGGUUCUCCAUGGCGACAAUCUGGGAGGCCUCCUCGGUGGCAGCCUUGGCAAUACCGGCUUCCUCGGCGAGCUCUUCACCUCCCACGGGAGAAGUUGGAGCUGA